rnacentral:rRNA from 1 species
UGCGUAAUAGCUCACUGGUCGAGUGACGCUGCGCCGAAAAUGUAUCGGGGCUAAACGAUUCACCGAAGCUGUGGAUGCAUACUUAGAGUAUGCGUGGUAGGAGAGCGUUCUAACAGCGUUGAAGUCAGACCGGAAGGACUGGUGGAGCGGUUAGAAGUGAGAAUGCCGGUAUGAGUAGCGAAACAUGGGUGAGAAUCCCAUGCACCGUAUGACUAAGGUUUCCUGAGGAAGGCUCGUCCGCUCAGGGUUAGUCGGGACCUAAGCCGAGGCCGAUAGGCGUAGGCGAUGGACAACAGGUUGAUAUUCCUGUACCACCUCCUCACCGUUUGAGAAAUGGGGGGACGCAGUAGGAUAGGGUAAGCACGCCGUUGGUUGCGCGUGUUCAAGCAGUAAGGCGUGUAUGUAGGCAAAUCCGCAUACUAUAACGUUGAGCUGUGAUGACGAGCUCGUAUGAGCGAAGUUCCUGAUUUCACACUGCCAAGAAAAGCCUCUAUCGAGGUGAGAGGUGCCCGUACCGCAAACCGACACAGGUAGUCGAGGAGAGAAUCCUAAGGUGUGCGAGAGAACUCUCGUUAAGGAACUCGGCAAAAUGACCCCGUAACUUCGGGAGAAGGGGUGCUUCUUUGGGUGCAUAGCCUAGAGAAGCCGCAGUGAAUAGGCCCAGGCGACUGUUUAGCAAAAACACAGGUCUCUGCAAAACCGUAAGGUGACGUAUAGGGGCUGACGCCUGCCCGGUGCUGGAAGGUUAAGAGGAGCGGUUAGCGCAAGCGAAGCUGUGAAUUGAAGCCCC